rnacentral:lncRNA from 1 species
GAAGGCGGGCACUUCCGCCAGGAUAGCCCAAUGACAGAGGUGGGACAGUUUCUAUAAAAGCUUGAGCCUCGCCCGCCCCUGUCUUUUCGGGGUCGAGUCCGAGGGGGAAGAGGUUUGUUAAUACGUUCGCCAUGUGCUACGAUCUUGGGACGAACUGAGCCACGAGCGUGGCUUUGAGGGCCGUCCGAACGCUGCAGGCCGGCCAGGUCCCUGGGCGUCCAGGCCUGGCCUACGCACCACUUUGUCCCUUAGCGUUUAAAGGUUUCUUCCCGAAUCUCAGGCCCUCAGCUACCUGCAGGUUUCGUCGCGAGCCGGCUGCAAGUUUUGAACCUAAGUAAACCUCAA